GGUCUCACUCUGUUACGCAGGCUGGAGUACAGUGGCACAUUCUUGACUGACUGCAACCUCCACCUCCCAGGCUCAAGCGAUCCUCCCACCUUGGAUCUGUGCUGGGAGAGUACUUGUUGGCAUAUGCUGAUGGUCAUCUGCAUGAUUGGACUCUUCCAUAUCUGCUCCAGAAGCUUGAGUGUCUCCACUACAGGAAGAGUCUUUGUCAUUACUGGUUUUAGAAAAGCUGUCCUCAGAGCCACCAUUUUUCUUGAUGCCUUUCACGGUGACAACGGCCAGCACUUGCCCUGAGGACAUCUCUUCAGGAAGCUCUGCUACAAGAAUGGCGAAGCAAUCUUUUUUCUUGGCAUCUCAUUUUGCCCUGUGAAGAGAUAGGGCUGCUUCUGGGGACUUUUCACUGAUCACCAUCCCCGCCAGGUCAUCCUUGAAAUCAUUUACCUGGACUCCCUAGGGUGCCUUCACAUUACAUGGGGCCUCCUUUUCCUUGAUGUUGUUGGCAAAUUCUUUCACUGGAUUAUCUAUGGGAACUUUUUCCUUGGCACAUUUGUCGGCAUUCAGAUCCAGUGGAGCAUCCUCAUGUGAGCUUUCGUUGGUGAGGUCUUCCACCAGGGUAUCCUCCAUGGGAACUUUUUCCUUGGCUCAUUUGUCAGCCUUUAAAUUUAGCAAAACAUCCCCAUCUGAGCUUUUGUUGGCAAGGUCUUCCACCAGGGUAUCCUCCGUGGGAACUUUUCCUUGGUGAAUUCAUCAGCCUUCAAUCCAGUAGAGCGUCCUCAUCUGAGCUUUCAUUGGCAAGGUCUUUCACCAGGGUAUCCUCUGUGGGAACUUUUUCUUUCAUGCGUUUGUCAACCUUCAAGUCCAGUGAGGCAUCCUUAUCUGAGCUUUCGUUUCCAAGGUCUUCCACCAGGGUAUCCUCCAUGGGAACUUUUUCCUUGGCACGUUCUUUGGCCUUCAAAUCCAGUGGGGUGUCCUAAUCUGAAAUUUCAUUGGCGAGGUCUUCCAGAGGAUCCUCCAUGGCACCUUUUUCCUUGGCACAUUCAUUGGCCUUCCAAAGCCAUGGGGCAUUUUCAUCUGAGCUUUCACUGGCUUGGUAUCCUUCCAGGAUAUCUUCCAUGUGAACACUUGCCUGAGUUGCUGAGUCUGUCAAGUGAACAGCAAGAACCUGUUCAGAGGAAGUGUCGCUGGUCUGCUCCCCUGCCAGGUUGUCCUUGAAAUCUUCAGAUGGCUACCUGCCAGGGUGCACAUGAGGAUGACACCUGCGGUGGCACAUUCUCUCUCUAAAACUGCGCUGGCAGACCAUGGAUUCGCCAUGGACAGUGGAGUCUCCUGAAACCUGAGUAUCCACUGCUGCAUCUUGGAGGCAAUACUCUAGCCUUCACGAGCACCCUUCUACUCCAGUCAGGCUGAAGUCUCCCUCGCUGUCACCGCCACAACUGUAGGAGGUGAGCCACAGAGCCGUGCCAUCUGCAAGCUCCAAACUCCACCUCACCACAGGUGACUCCUCCUUCACUUUCUCCUCCAGCCUUUCUCAGAGUGGCUGGGCGGGCAAAGCCAGAAAAGCCACUCUGGCCACACUGCAGCCUCUGUUGCCACCACCAACUGCAGUGAGGCAAGCCAUGGUGCCACAGGCUCCAACCUCCAGCAUGUGGCAGGUAAAGGCAAUGGAGAACAAAGGAAAAGAGGAAGUUGCUUGCCAAAAGACUUGGAGAAGUAAUAACAUUUCCAAAUAAGGAAAGGGCAUAAGCUGUGAGCUGGGACAUGCUUGAGCACGUCGAGACCAAAUAUCUUGGUUAACGUACAAGGACACAGAAGGUACUUAUUUCCUUAUAUCUAACAACUACAUAAGAUAUGGUUUAAAAAAGAGUUACUAACACAAAGCAAAGAGGCUUAAAAAAAGUUAAUUAAAAAUAUUAUUUCUAACACUUGUGAUUUAUUAUUUAAUAAAAACUUUAAAGAGAAACUUUUUUACUUUCCACAACCUAGAAGGUGGAGGUUGCUGUGAGCCAAGAUGGCACCACUACACUCCAGUCUGGGUGACAGAGGGAGACUCCAUUUCCAAAAUAAUAAAGUAUGUUUUUUAAAAAAAACUUUUCUGUAGUCUUGAAAUUUUAUUUAUUUAUUUAUUUAUUUAUUUUUUGAGACAGAGUCUCACUCUGUUGCCCAGGCUAGAGUGCAGUGGCAUGAUCUGGGCCCACUUUAGACUCAACCUCCUCGUCUCAAACAAUCCUCCCACCUCAGGCUUCUGGGUAGCUGGAACCACAGCACACACCACCACACCUGGCUACUUUUUUGAUUUUUUUUUUUUUUUUGGAGACAGAGUCUCACUCUGUCCCCCAGGCUGGAGUGCAGUGACAUGAUCUUGGCUCACUGCAACCUCUGCCUCCCGGGUUCAAACAAUUCUUUUACCUCAGCCUCCAGAGUAGCUGGGACUACAGGUGCAGGCUGCCAUGCCCGGCUAAUUUUUCGUAUUUUAGUAGAGACAGGGUUUCACCGUGUUGCCCAGGCUGGUCUCGAACUCCUGAGCUCAGGCAAUCUGCCUGCCUUGGCCUCCCAAAUUGCUAGGAUUACAGGCGUAAGCCAGCAUGCCUGGCCUACUUUUUAAAUUUUUUUGUAGAGAUGAAGACUCCCUCUAUUGCCCAGGGUGAUCUCAAACUCGUGGGCUCAAGUCAUCCUCCUGCCUCAGCCUCCCAAAUUGCUAGGAUUAUAGGUGUAAGCCACUGUGCCUGUCCUGAAAUUUUUAAAAUAAAAUUUUAAAUAAACAUUUUUAAAAUGAAGAUAUUGCAUGGGUGUACGUGGGUAUCAUAUGGAUGUAUCAAGCUCUUUGGGUUUCUUAAAACUUUUCAGGAUUAAAAAUACCCUGAUUUUGCAAAGCACUUCAUAAUUAGAAUCACUUGUAGAAGUUUACCAAAGGUGGCCUGGCCAGGCAUGGUGGCUCACGCCUAUAAUCCCAGCACCUUGGGAGGCCAAGGCAGUUGGAUCACCUGAGGUCAGGAGUUCAAGAGCAGUCUGGCCAACAUGAUGAAACCUUGUCUCUCUAAAAAUAGAAAAAUUAGUCAGGUGUGGUGGCAGUCACCUGUAAUCCCAGCUACACAGGAGGCUGAGGCAGGAGAAUCACUUGAACCUGGGAGAUGGAGGUUGCAGUGAGCUGAGAUCGCACCAUUGCACUCCAGCCUGGGGGACGAGCGAGACUUCGUCUCCAAAAAAAAAAAAAAAAAAGUUUACCAAAGGUGAAAUACACAACGCAUUUAGCAUUCAUACAGCUCUUUGGUAUUAAAAAUCACAUUUUGGGCCAGGCGCAGUAGCUCAUGCCUAUAAUCCCAGCACUUUGGGAGGCCGAGGCAGGUGGAUCAGCUGAGGUCAGGAGUUCGAGACCAGCCUGGCCAACAUGGCCAACAUGGCGAAACCCUGUCUACACUAAAAAUUCAAAAAUUAGCUGGACGUGGUGGCACGUACUUGUAGUCCCAUCUACUUGGGAGGCUAGGGCUGGAGAAUCACUUGAACCUCAGUGGCGGAGGUUGCAGUGAGCUGAGAUUGUGCCAUUGCACUCUAGCCUGGGCAACAGAGCGAAACUCCAUCUCAAAAAAAACAAAAAAAGAAGAAGAAAAUCACAUUUUGGGCCAGGUGUGGUGGCUCAUGUCUAUAAUCCUAGUACUUUGGGAGGCAGAGGCGGGCGGAUUGCCUGAGCUCAGGAGUUCGAGACCAGCCUGGGAAACAUGGCGAAACCCCGUCUCUACUAAAAAUAGAAAAAUUAGCUGGGUGUGGUGGUCCGCGCCUGUAGUUCCAGCUAUUCCGGAGGCUGAGGUGGGAGGAUCAUUUGAGUCUGGGAGUUGGAGGUUGCAGUGAGCUGAGAUUGUGCCACUGUACUCCAGCCUGGAUAACAGAGCAAGACUCCAUUCUCAAAAAAAAAAACCAAAAAAACAAACAAAAAAAACCCCAAAAAUCAAAACCACAAUAACAACAAAAACAUUUUGGAGUUUAUAAUGGAGAGGUUUACCAACCACUUUGGGAUAGAUUGAAAAAUACUCUGAAGUUUGCAGAGCACUUACUUUGAGACAAAAACACAAUUUGGGGUUUAUGAGGGUGAAGCUUUCCAAGCACUUAGAAUUAAAAACCCUUCUUGGUUUAUAAAACAUUUUGGUGCUCAUAGAAACACUUUGAUUGACUAUUAUGUAGUUAAAAAAAAAAAAGAAAACCACUUUGAUACAAAACCCUCUAGGGUCUACUAAACCCUUGCAGAUGUAUUCUGAGGUCAAAAAUCUCAUUUCUGACAGUUGGAUUGCCCCACUUGAGAGAUGGCAAAACUGAGGCUCAGAAGGAGGAAGUUCCACACAGAGGAGUAAGAGGGUCAGUUCCUCUUCUUGUCCUCCUAAACUACAGAAAAUGUUAGGGCCUCACCAGGCAUGGUGGCUCAUGCCUGUAAUCCCAGCACUUUGGAAGGCCAAGAUGGGCAGAUCACUUGAGGUCAGGAGUUCAAGACCAGCCUGACCAACAUGGAGAAACCCUGUCUCUACUAAAAAAAUACAAAAAAUUAGCCGGGCGUGGUGGCAGGUGCCUGUAAUCCCAGCUACCAAGGAGCUUGAGGCAGGAGAAUUGCCUGAACUUCGGAGGCGGAGGUUGCAGUGAGCCAAGAUCGUGCCACUGCACUCCAGCCUGGGUGACAGAGUGAGACUCUUCUUUAAAAAAGAAAAAAAGAAAAUGUUUGGGCCUGGACACUUUGACGGCGGGGCACGUCCUAACCUUCAAAUCACCCUCGAAGCUCCCCUCCGCUGGUUGAAUGGAUGCCACCACAUUCUCGGAGAUCAGCACCUCUCCUGUCUUGUUGUCGGUCAUCUGUGAGGAUCCGAUGAGAGAGUGAGAGCAAACCUGCUUUCCUCCUCCGCCCUCCUUCCCUCCCAACAGAUACUGCAGCACGAGGGAUGGCGGGAUGGAGGGAUCCCAAGGGGACUUCAGGAAGGGCUUCCCUGCAUAGGCACCUUGUCGAUCUGGAGGUGGCUGGAGAGGGUGUUGUUCCCCAGCUGGUG
rnacentral:lncRNA from 10 species